CACUUCCUACCUCACACCUUUUCCACAGCUGUUGUAAGGAUUAACAUAGGGGCUUCCAUUAAGUUGUUCUCCGCUUUUGAUACUGACAUUUCUGCAUAUAAGUCUAUAAACACUUACUAUCAUGCCAUAAUGAUGUUUAGCUUUUGUUUAUUUAACUUUUUUAUUUUACCAGGUGGAAUGAUCGUGUAGCAUAACUUGAAUGAAGUUUAAAAAUAAGAUAAAGUUAAAUUUGAAUUAAUGCAGUCUUAGUCACAUUUUCUUUCUAUACACUUAUGGAUCCUGAAAUAAUUCUAUCAGGAUCUUUGUCUACUUUUCCUAGUAGAACUGAUUGAAGUAAUUUAAAUUGUUUAAAUUUCCUAGCAUGGACUUUUUUAAGUGUAAUCUAUUCUGUACACUUUCUAUAGCUCUAAGUUAAAGCUUUUCUGUGAGCUUAAUAUUAGCGUGCUUUAUUCAUUCCAAACCCGGCUUUGAUUUGUCUUUGGGGUCAUGCCCUUUUCAUUGAGAGGUGUUUGGUCCGUGAGGCAGAAACCCUGUCUACUUUUAAGACUAGUAGGCCCCUUUACCGUGAAGACGCAUGUGCUCAUUGUUGUCAUACUUGUUCACGUGUAGCCUUUUAAUCACUUAAAGUAGUCGAAAAGUAACUCCAUUUUUUAAAAUGGAAAUUAUGUAACAACCCGCAGAGCUUCGGAAUAUGAAGGACCUCUUUUUCCACAGAAAAGAGUGGAAAGGUAUUUCUCUGUGUUUUUCAGUGGUGAAGUGUGUUAUUAGUGAAAUAAAUCGCUUCUCUCUGAAUGUUGCUAUUCAUCUGUCAUUGUUAUCCAGGCCAUUGUGCGGAUAAUUGCGCUGUUUCUUUGUACCAUGCGCAUCGCAUUAAUGUGGCAUACUUGUUUGGUUGAGGAGGUGACCUGCAUGUUUGUGAUGCCAUGAUGCUUUUUCUGCGCGCCGUGCAUUAAGUCGUAGGAGUGUUGGUGUGGCUCAGGUGCGCUUUGUGCGCCGCCUCCAAAUAUAAUCCUGCAGACACCCCAAAUUCAAGUAAGGUGGUUAACAACAAAGUUUACUCUGACGAAAAAAAACAAGGAAAUGAACACAAGCGUUUAUUCAUUUUAAUAACUUAUUUCUUGUUAAUCAUCAAGUGGUUAACAAGCACAGAGUCGCUGAUGUCAUCCUAGCACACAGUGUUGAUGGAUGAGGAGCAACAGAGAGGGCGUAGCCAAUUCAGAUCACAUAAAACAGAAACGUUUUCAAGUUUGCGAGACAGCGAGAAAAUACAUGCGCUAACAUAAUGUUAAUGCCAUUUGCAAGUAUGUGGCCUUUUAAUUGAUGUGGGAAGUGACUUAUGAAGCUGUGAGUCCAAAUAUCCUUAGAAUCUUCCAUAAUAAGCCUUCUUUGUGUCUCUGGCAAAGCAGAAGCUGCGGUGGGCUUUGUUCAUCUCCUGGCUGUCAGGCAGGAGUUUGUGGAUUUUAUAAUACCAAAUAAUGUAUUUAAUAAAAGAAAAUGCCAAAAAGCAGGAGUUGUCCAAUAGAACGGUUUCGUGCAUCCUGGGUUUCUGUAGAGAUUAUGUUGCGCCGUUUCUGACUGAGAUUGUGUUCAGAAAAUGAAAUAAUAACCUUGCCAGGCUGCCACGGGUCCUGGUUAGAUUUUUCUUCUAUUAUUUUAAAGAAGUUCACAUGAACAUAGAAGCUCAUCGCUAUAGUUUUCAUCUGCCUGCAUUUUCUGGGCAGGGCCAUAAAGUGGGGGGGCCAAUGGCCCCCUGGCCCCUUUUGUUCCAGCGCCAGUGUCUGGCGUUCUAUUAGCUGUGACAUCAUCCACGGAAGACAGAUCAUCCACUCUGGGGAUGUUAAGUCUGACGUCACGCGUGACGUUUAGCCUCUUCCGGGUCCAAGCGCUCAGCACGUCCAGAUCAAUAACAAUGGCGGAACCUGUAAAUUUAUUUACGAUCACGUCCUCCUUUAGGGAGGUACCCUUGGCGGUCAAAAAGGGUUUAAACUCCUUCAACUCCAACAGAGUGGUUAGUGUAGCGCAUCAUUCAGCUGGCAUAAUUAAGGGUAGAGUCCAGGCAUCAAUGAAAAAGAAGGUUUACGAGGUUGAGGUGAGUUGGCUGUAAGCUAGCUAGCUGAUAGGUGAUAUUCCAUGUUCUGGGUGAGGUAUUUCGAAAGAAAAAAAAAUAUACAGGACUGCUAUAACUGUGGAUGUAACUAAACGAGGAUUAAAAAGUAAAUAUGUGACAGCCAGGUUUUAGAGGAUUUAGGGAACUAGGGAAUUAGUAGUAUGAUCUGAUAGCCCCGGGCUAGCUACAGAAGUAUUGUUAUGGUAACAACGCUGACAGCAAUGUGUUUUAGAAGUGUUAGGGUGAGGGAGUAAAAUUGUUUUCAAUACAGGUGCAAGUUGAGGGCCAGGCAGUCAAGUACAGCACAUGCGAGUGCCCAAUCGGCAGGGACAAGUGUCAUCAUAUGGCAGCUUUGUUGAUUUGGGUUGAGAAAAAUGUGUCCCGCACUGACGUGGAAUGUGUUUGGAAGAAGGCCAACGCUCCGAAGGGGGACGAUAUUGCAACCAAGAGAGUGUCUGAGAUGACACCAUCCACAACACAAGCUGGCAUCAAAAGACCUGUCACCCAGGAGGACAAAGAAUGGGCUCAGGCAUCCUUGUUACAGCUUGGGCGUUUUACAGGGAUGGGGUGGAUUUUGAGUCCAGAGACACCUCAGACUCUCCCAAUCAAGAUGUUUGAUGGGCUGGUGUCCAAGCUGAGGACAAGGCUCUAUAUGUACUGUCAAUGCUUGUUGUCAAUGAUCAGGAGAAGCAGCAGAUUGAGGAAGCAACUGUUGGCCAGGCUAAGAACUCACUAUGGUUUACAUAUCGCAAGAAAAGGAUAACAGCAAGUAACUUUGGUUUGGUCUUGGCAGCAGUCAAGCGGAAGUCUUACCCGCCUUACUUAUUCAAAACCCUGCUUGGCCUGUACAACCUCAAAGAAGGAUCUAAAGUUAGUUGUAGUUAAUAAGUGAAUAUUUAAAAUGAAGGCAUCUGUGUCUAAGAAUACACUUAUUAAGACUCAGUGGUAUUUUAUCCCCUCCCCCCCAAGGCAUGUGAUUGGGGAAUCCUGCAUGAGCCAAGGGCAAAGCAGGAAUACACUGAGCGCACUGGUGUUGUCAUACAAGAGAGGGGACUGUUCCUAUCUGAUAGCGGCCUGCUUGGUGGAUCUCCUGAUGGGACGGUGUUUGGAAACUGCGUGAUUGAAGUCAAGUGUCCGUGGUCAGCCAAAACCAAGACUAUCCUGCAGGCAGCGGAGAGUAGGGACUUUUUCAGAGAGUUCGAUGAAGUGGUUGGUUCCCUGACACUAAAAAAAAAAUCACAACUACUGGCAUCAGAUCCAGGGAAACCUGCACCUGACCGGAGCUAACAGCUGUCAACUGCUUGUGUGGACACCUCUUGACCUUGUCAUUCUGCCAGUGCUAAAAGAUCCUACAUCGGCUGUGAACAUUGACACUCUUGAAAUAUUUUAUAAAGAUUGUUUCCUACCUUACAUUCUCUCCCAGUUUUAAGAAAACAAAUCUACCCACUAAAGCUUUUAUGGAAGUAAUCAACUGGGAAACGUGAUAUUAGUUAAAUGUAUUCACCAGUGUCUCCCCUUGUUUUCUGUAAAUACUUUUGUUGUGGCUUCUUACAUUUAAUCUGCUGUAGCCUAUUUUUGUGCAUAACUGAAAGAAUUUGAACUGCUUUAAAGUAAUUUAAGAUAAAUGUUGAAUGUUUGUAGUGCUUUACUUUAAGAUAAGAUAAAAUGCUGUGUAGCCUAUAUUUUAUAAAGAUUUUCCUAUCCUUACAACUCUGACAGUUUUAAGAAAAUAAAUGAAACUUUGACA